ACGGGUGAGUAACGCGUAGGUAACCUGCCUCUUAGCCGGGGAUAACUAUUGGAAACGAUAGCUAAUACCGCAUAAAAGUCGACAUUGCAUGAUGUUGACUUGAAAGGUGCAAAUGCAUCACUAAGAGAUGGACCUGCGUUGUAUUAGCUAGUUGGUGAGGUAACGGCUCACCAAGGCGACGAUACAUAGCCGACCUGAGAGGGUGAUCGGCCACACUGGGACUGAGACACGGCCCAGACUCCUACGGGAGGCAGCAGUAGGGAAUCUUCGGCAAUGGGGGCAACCCUGACCGAGCAACGCCGCGUGAGUGAAGAAGGUUUUCGGAUCGUAAAGCUCUGUUGUAAGAGAAGAACGAGUGUGAGAGUGGAAAG
rnacentral:rRNA from 1 species